rnacentral:lncRNA from 1 species
CUUAGGUAACCUAUUUAUUGAGGAAUAGAGCCAUUUAAAUGGUUGUCAAAUAUACGGAGGAUCUGAAGCUUGGCUAGUGAACCGAUUUGUUGUGGGAUUGUUCCUGAAAUCUGAUUGAUGUUCAAGUCAAGAUAGACAAGAUUAGUGAGAUUACCAAUCUCACGUGGAAUGGUGCCAAAGAAAUUGUUCAUGCUAAGAUUAAGAUUCUCAAGAAAAGGGAGAGAUGAUAAUGGAAAAGCAUAGAGUGUACCAAUGACACCGGAAUUCGUGAUAUGCAAUGUGUUUACUCUACCAUUAAAGCAUAUAACUCCAUACCAGUCCCUGCAUGCAUUAGAAGUUGGCAUCCAUGAAGCCAAUAAGGAAUUAUUCUGGUUCUUGAAAGUUGCUUUCCAUUUCAAGAGGGCAGUUGCUUCAUCAGUGGAAGCAAAAGUAACUGUAAAGAGGUACAAAAGAGUGAAAAACUGAAGCGAAGAGAAUGUUUUGCUAGAAACCAUCAUCAUAUUUUGAGUUUAUUGUUUCGGAUUCAUAGGAUUUGAUAUUGUACGUAACUUAUACUAACUAAAGACCAACAGGAAACGCUUUUUUUUUAAUGUAUGACGCAGACAUGUCUGGUUCUUAGUUUUUAUUUCUAAAGUAGUUAACCAUAUCCAAUAAUUCUCUAGUCAAUCAAUAAAUUUACUAGACUUCAUUAUCUUCAAUUCAUAUAAGCAAAUGUCAAGAGUUGAUUACGCACAUGUUCUCACUCAACUAUUCAGAAAGUCAUUUUUCUUUGUCUUGUAACAAAAAGUCACUUAUUUAUUGUCAUUUCACGUAUGAAGUCACUCAACCAAUUCAAGUUAUAUUUUCGAUAGAGAAUGGUGAUGUGGAACUUUUUCCGAAUGAAACUUUUAAAAUAUGAGAUAAUAGUUUUUCAUUAGAGAUAGAUUAGGAUAUUUUUGCGGAUAUUAAAAUCUCCAGCUAUAUCUUCUUGAUUUUGUGCUUCCUGUUCUUGAAUUUCUCCUUCAUUAUGUUGAGUCAUAGCUGCAGUUUGAUGUUGCAGAGACACAAUAGCCAUUUGCUGCUGCAUCAUCAAGGCUUCGUGUUGUAACGGUUGUUGUGAUUGAGUCAUAUUGGCAACCUAUUGUAACAUGAGAACACCAUAAUCAUGGUAAUGAGCCAUAGAAGCCAUUGUGUGCACCAUUUGUUCCUGAGUUGGUUGAGCUAUUAAGUGCAUCGUGCGAAUUAUCAGCUACCUUGAAUAGAUUAGAUGGAACUUCCCUGUUGUUAGGAUCAUUUUACAAGAUUCUGUCUUGCCAGUGCUUUUCAUCCAACUUUGAUCUAUCUAGUAUACCCCCCUGUAUCUGGAAAAAAAUAGAACUCACAAAUGUUUCAAACUAACAUUAUUGCAAUUGGCAAAGGAAAGUUUCAAAGUGCUACGAGCACAAGAAGGAAUAUUAUUGGUGAAUGCAAAUGAAAAAAACAGUUUACUUUGAGCGAGCCUGUUUGUGUAAUAAAAGGCUAAGCUCCUGCUAUGUAGGGAAGGGCCGGACCACAAGGGUGUAUUGUAAGAGACUGUUUCCACAACAACCUUAUCAUAAAAAAAAAUAGAACUUUGGCCUCUCCCACCCUAAGAACUAGCUUUGGGUUGUGAGUUAACCAUUAACGCCCAAAGUUGUUAUGUAUUCUUCUUUGUUAGUCCUCUUUUUUCUAUCGCACGGUAAAUAUCUUCCUCCAUUAAUUCAGCUCUCUUAGAUUCUUUGAGGUGAGUAUUAUUGAUCCGAUAAAUGCAUACACAUCAUUUAAUACACACAACAUUUAUUGUAUAUCAUCAAAAUUCAUAAUAUUACAUUUUCCCUAGUUAAGAAAAACUUAUAAAACUAAAAAUCAAAUCCAACAUCAUAAGCUGCAACAUAGGAAGAACCAAAUCCAUUACGCCAACAUCUUCUUAUUCUUGGCACCUGAAAAUCUGAAAAAACAAGAAAGUGAGUUACACAACUAUAAAUUUUUAGCCUUUGUUAUCACAGUUUCCAACUGAUUACUUGAAAUUCGUAUCAAGCGUUAAUAAGUAUUUGUUGAUAAAAAAAAGCAUAAAACCUAAUAUAUUAGUUGUUAGAAUAAACUAAAAAAGAUUAGUGUAGAGCUUAGCUUGAAUACCUGAAGUUCUGAAAUCAAAUCCUUCUUUAUUGGUAACUUGUCUAGAAGCGAUUAUUUCUUCUUCUGUAUUUCCUUUGACCUCUCUGAUUCUUUCUCCUUUGCAUGAUAAUUUUGUGUUCCAGUUCUUCAAUGAUUCUUGCAAGCCAUCUUAGAUUUCCAGUCGAGAUCAAGAAAUAUAUUAUGGAUAACCCAAUACAUAGUCCACUGCCAUAGCCCAUCAGAGCUGCUUUCCAAAAAUCAUUGAGAAAUUCAGAAUUGCUUUCUUGAUCGUGUAGCACAUAUACUGUAUAAUUUGUCUCUGACACAGGAUCAUUGCCGCAACCUUUUGAAACUGGAUAUCCACGUAAUCCUUCAUUACCUUCAUAUGAGUUGUUCUCAAAGGUACCAAAUUGAGGUCCUUUAGGGAUGCAUCCUUGGAGAUAAUUGUGGGAGAGAUUUAAGAAUUCAAGAGACGUAAGAGAAGCAAGUUGUUGUGGUAUCUCUCCCGAAAGGCGGUUAAAUGAAAGGUCCAAUGAUUCCACUACAGAUAAAUUUCCAAGUGAUGGUGGUAUAUGACCUUUCAAUCCAUUAUGAGACAUAUUCAAUACCCGAAGAGCUAUGAGAUCUCCUAGAACACUAGGAAUACGUCCUUCAAAUUUAUUGUUUGAAAGAUCAAUAAUUGUGUACAAAGACAAAAUUUUCACAACUUCAAGCUUCAAUCCCUUUGUUACAACAACUACCGAGUCUUGGUAGUAUAAUCCACCUCCUUUAUAACUUGGUGCCUUCAUAGUUUGAUCAAUAGUCCUCAUGCCUUUCAAAUGUUGAAACAGACUCGUCGGUAAGUCUUUCGAGAAGGCAUUGUUAGAGAGAUCCAUGAUUCGAAGAUCAGGAAACAUGAUUUCAGCACCUGAAGAUCUUAUGGGUCCAUGCAAUUUAUUCGAUGUCAAUCUUAAAACUCUCAGCUCUGUCAAAGCUCCCAACCACAUGGGAAAUGUGUCAUUGAGGUGAUUAUCUCCCAGAUCAAUAACUUGCAGUUUUUUGCAAUUGGACAACGACCGAGGGAUUCUCCCCUCUAAUUCAUUGCCAGGCAAGUUGAGACUUAUAAGUGAACUUCCAAUGCUAAAAUUUGUUGGAAGAGUCCCAGAAANNNNNNNNNNNNNNNNNNNNNNNNNNNNNNNNNNNNNNNNNNNNNNNNNNNNNNNNNNNNNNNNNNNNNNNNNNNNNNNNNNNNNNNNNNNNNNNNNNNNNNNNNNNNNNNNNNNNNNNAAAACAUUGUGGAAUUGCUCCCUCCAGAUUGUUUCUGCCCAAAUCUAGAAUUUGUAGUGAUGUUAAAUUGGAAAUAGAUGGAGGCAUCCCUCCACUAAGAUUAUUAUGUGACAUCGUCAUAACCUUGAGGCGAAUGAUAUUACCCAAACAUUGUGGAACUUUUCCUGUCAAGGUGUUUCUCGACAUAAACAACACUUCCAGUGAUGUCAGAUUGCACCCAAAUGAAGUAGGAAUAGAUCCAUUAAGAGAGUUAUUACCCAAAUAUAGAUAAGUAAGAGACCUCAAGUAACCUAUUUCUUCAGGAAUAGAGCCAGAAAGCUGAUUAUUAAAAAGAUACAAACUAGACAAGUUGCUCAAAUUCCCCAAUGAAGCUGGAAUGGAACCAGUAACAAAGUUCCUACCCAAAGAUAGCGUAGUAAGAGACCUUAGGUAACCUAUUUCUCGAGGAAUAGAGCCAGAAAAGUGAUUAUCAUAAAGAUACAAAAAAGACAAGUUGCUCAAAUACCCCAAUGAAGCUGGAAUGGAACCAGUAAGAAAGUUUCCUACCCAAAGAUAGCGUAGUAAGAGACCUUAGGUAACCUAUUUCUUCAGGAAUAGAGCCAUUUAGAUGGUUGCCAAAUAUACGGAGGAUCUGAAGCUUGGCUAGUGAUCCGAUUUGUGGUGGGAUUGUUCCUGAAAUCUGAUUGAUGUUCAAGUCAAGAUAGAUAAGAUUAGUGAGAUUACUAAUCUCAGGUGGAAUGGUGCCAGAGAAAUUGUUCAUGCUAAGAUUAAGAUUCUCAAGAAAAGGGAGAGAUGAAAACGGAAAAGCAUA